rnacentral:rRNA from 1 species
GGAAUAUUGCGCAAUGGCCGAAAGGCUGACGCAGCGACGCCGCGUGUGGGAGGAAGCCCUUCGGGGUGUAAACCACUGUCAGGGGGGAAGAACCCUCGCGAUUCGAACAGGGUCGUGAGUUGACGGUACCCCCAGAGGAAGCGCCGGCUAACUCCGUGCCAGCAGCCGCGGUAAGACGGAGGGCGCAAGCGUUGUUCGGAAUUACUGGGCGUAAAGCGCGAGCAGGCGGUUCGUUAAGUCCCCUGUGAAAUCCCGGGGCUCAACUCCGGAGUUGCAGGGGAUACUGGCGAACUGGAGACCGGUAGAGGCAAGCGGAAUUCCUGGUGUAGCGGUGGAAUGCGUAGAUAUCAGGAAGAACACCUGUGGCGAAGGCGGCUUGCUGGGCCGGUUCUGACGCUGAACCGCGAAAGCGUGGGGAGCGAAC